UGUCAGGGGCCGCGGAUGUUCAGCUUGCGAACCCCGCCAGGUCCUGACGGAAGCAACGGCAGCCUGCCUGUCCAUGUCGCGGUUCCCUGGCACUU
rnacentral:SRP_RNA from 2 species